GCAAGUCGUGCGAGAAAGUCGACUUCGGUCGAUGAGUAGAGCGGCGAACGGGUGAGUAACAUGUGGGUAACCUGCCUAGGAGCGGGGGAUAACCUGGGGAAACUCGGGCUAAUACCGCAUACGUUCUCGGCGUCAUGGCGCCGAGAGGAAAGCUGGCCAAUUCUUGAAAGCUAGCACUCCUAGAGGGGUCCGCGCUCGAUUAGCUUGUUGGUGGGGUAAUGGCCUACCAAGGCUGCGAUCGAUAGCCGGCCUGAGAGGGCGAUC
rnacentral:rRNA from 1 species